rfam:Dipodomys ordii contig_20140, whole genome shotgun sequence.
UGGGAAGUGGCUCAAUGGUAGAGUGCUUGCCUUGCAUGCAUGAGGCCCUGGGUUUGAUUUCUCAGCACCACAU